GAACGCAUAUUGCGCUCUUUGGUAUUCCGAAGAGCAUGCUUGUUUGAGUAUCAGUAAACACCUCAAAGCUUUUGGAUUUUUUUUUUUUUUGAAAGCUUUGGACUUGAGCAAUCCCAACACCAAUCUUUUUCAGAUCGGCGGCGGGUUGCUUGAAAUGCAGGGGCAGCUGGACUUUCUCCUGAGCUAAAAGCAUAUUCAUUUAGUCCCGUCAAACGGAUUAUUACUUUUGCUGCAGCUAACAUAAAGGGAGUUUGACCGCAUUGGCUGACUGAUGCAGGAUUUCACAAGGGUCGGCAACGAUUCUUGUUAAACUCGAUCUCAAAUCAAGUAAGACUACCCGCUGAACUUAAG
rnacentral:misc_RNA from 1 species